GCCCCGUUCGUCUAGGGGUCAGGACGCAUCCCUUUCACGGAUGAAACACGGGUUCGAUUCCCGUACGGGGUA
rnacentral:tRNA from 1 species